GGCAGUUGCUGCAGCGGAACAAUGGGAGGAUCACAGGCUACGCGAUAUUCCUCACCACGGACCAAACUGUCAGUGACUGGGUGACGGGGGAAGUGACGGGGGACUGGCUCACCCUUACCGUCCAUGGACUGACGCCUUCAAGGAAGUAUUUGCACAAGAUGCACUCUCACAAUGUCAAAGGUUUUGGUCCAUUCUCCUCCGUGGAAAGCUUCACGACUUCCAGCUGUUGACAAGAGCAUCGGUGAGCCCCCUGGCUGGUGUGUGGAGCGAGAGGCCUGAUUGUGCUGGUGAUCGCUGGCGUGGCAGGAGCCAUGACCAGCUGGGGGCCUUCUUGGCCACCACACUGUACUGCCGCGGGUCAAGGCGGAGCCCAGGCCAAGCAUUGUUGUUGGCGGCAGCUGCAGUGAGAGCAACAAGCCUGGCGUCCAGCCUCCAGACCUGUGGAUCCAUCACGGCCACUUGGAGCUGAAGAACUUUGACAAGGGUGAGCGCAGCAACUCCCCCAACCACGCCUCCAUCAUCCAGCACACAGGAGUCGCGUCACAUCACAAUGGGACCAAAAAAGGACGAGAAGGGACAAGACAAGAAGAAAAGGUCUUCUGCUGCCGCUGGUGCCUCUCCAGAUGAUGAUGAGCAACAAGAAGACACUCAAGAACAACCUGCCAAGAAAGUGAAGGGACGAUCCAAGAAGAGGUCAUCGUCUGCUACCGGGGAGACACCCCCUCCUCCAGCCCUCUUGCGUCACCAAUCCACUUGGACACAGAGCCCCAACCUGGUCGUGAUGAUGCUGGGGUGUCUUUUGCUCAAAAUCGGGAGCAAAUUCUUGGAGGAGAUUUGAAACUCGUAGUAGAUCCGGAGUUAUCGGUGUAGUUCGUCGUACAUUGUAGUACUUCGUACUUACAAAUCAGGACAGUUGGUGGUUCGUGAUACUUCGUAGUACUUCUGCUCCAAAACUCGCCGUACUUCGGGAGAAAAUCAGGGUGAAAUCAUAGUACAUCGUAGCAUAUUGUAGUACGUCGUAGCACUUCGGGAAAUAAUUCGGUGUACUUCGGGGAAUAUGCCCUCGAGGUCGACCGAACGCCUCGAGAUGAAAAGAUAAACAAAUUUUCGUAGUGAUUCGGGGAAAACGCUGUAUCCCGAGGUACUACGAUUUUUUUGUGAUUCGGCGUCUGUGAGACCGGGGGGUAAGUGUGUUCUCUCAAAGUUUCCGAUAGUUUGGUCGCUGCUCUCUGUAUUCUUUCCAACUUUCUAAUUUCUUUCUUCAAUGUAGGUGACCACACUAACGCUGCAUAUUCCAGUCUUGGACGUAUCACCGAUGUUAUUAGUUUCUCCACCGUCUCUUCGUCUAGAUAUGUAAAUACUGCUUUUAUGUUUCUAAGAAGAUUGUAUGUUUCCCCAGUUAUCCAAUUUAUAUGCUUCCCAAAGGAUAACUUGUCUGUUAUUGUCACUCCCAGAUCCUUAUUCUUCUGUUUUUUUCAUGAUUCUUUCAUUACUCAGAGAGUAGUUCCCCAAUAUCCGUCUACUGCUCUUACCAAACUCCAUCACACUACAGUUCUCUGUAUUGAAUGUCAUUUCCCAUUUGCGUGACCAUUCGCUUAUUCUAUCGAAAUCCUGACUCAAGGCUACACAGUCUUCUUCAUUAGCCACCCUCCUCAUUAGUUUAGCAUCAUCAGCAAACAUAUUCAUAUAGCUUGUCACCCCUUCUGUCAUGUCAAUUAUAUAUAUUGCAAACAUAAUCGGAG